AGGCCUGAAGAGAGAGACAGGGUGAGAUCCGCAGCCUCUGUGGCAGCUGUUGAUCAGCCAUUGCCUCUCUCUUUCUCUCUG
rfam:Myotis brandtii contig232562, whole genome shotgun sequence.